UACGUAGGGUGCAAGCGUUGUCCGGAAUUAUUGGGCGUAAAGAGCUCGUAGGCGGUUUGUCGCGUCUGCUGUGAAAACCCGAGGCUCAACCUCGGGCCUGCAGUGGGUACGGGCAGACUAGAGUGCGGUAGGGGAGACUGGAAUUCCUGGUGUAGCGGUGAAAUGCGCAGAUAUCAGGAGGAACACCGAUGGCGAAGGCAGGUCUCUGGGCCGAUACUGAC
rnacentral:rRNA from 1 species